rnacentral:lncRNA from 1 species
GUUCCUGUUCCUGUCGGCUCCAUGGAGGACGCCGUUCCUGUUCCUGUCCGCCUCGGAGAGGCCGUCCCUGCCGCAGUCCCUGCCGCAGGUCCCGCCGACCUCCAGGAGGAGCUCGCACCUGCCGCAGUUCCCGUCGACCUCCAAGAGGGAGGUCGCGCCUGCCGCAGUUCCCGUCGACCUCCAGGAGGAGGUCGUGCCUGCCGCAGUUCCCGUCGACCUCCAGGAGGAGGUCGCGCCUGCCGCAGUUUCCGUCGACCUCCAGGAGGAGGUCGCGCCUGCCGCAGUUCCUGCUGUGGUUCCCGAAGACCUCCAGGAGGAGGUUGCGCCUGCUUCGAUUCCCGCCGACCUCCAGGAGGAGGUUCCGGGCUUCGGGGAUGCUAGCCAAAGGACUGCCCCUGGAGCUCCUGGUGGUCCGGCUCCGACCACGUCUGCCCUGGUCCCUGGUGGUCUGGUCCAGACCACGUUCAUCUCAGCUCCUGGUGGCCAGGCGGUGGUCCGGCCCCGGCCACGACUGCAUCGGUUCCCGGUGGUCCGGCACCGGCCACGCCUGCAUCGGUUCCUGGUGGCCCGGUCCCGGCCACGCUUGUCUCAGCUCCUGGUGGUACGCCGUUCCUGUUCCUGUCGGCUCCACGGAGGACGCCAUUCCUGUUCCUGUCGGCUCCAUGGAGGACGCCGUUCCUGUUCCUGUCCGCCUCGGAGGCCAAGCUCGUCUCAGCUCCUGGUGGUCCGUCCGCGCUCGUCUCAGCUCUUGGUGUUCCGGCCGCGUUCGGCUCAGCUCUUGGUGUUCCGGCCACGUUCAGCUCAGCUCCUGAUGGUCCAGCGUCGGCUGCGCCCGUUCUUUCCCCUCGUCUGGUUCCGUCUCCACAUCUGUCUCCGUCUCUGCUCCCGGCUUCGUCUCUGGUCCCGUCUCCGUCUCCACGUCUGUCUCCGUCUCUGGUCCCGGCUUCGUCUCUGGUCCCGGCUCUGUCUCCACAUCUGUCUUCGUCUCCGGUCUUGGCUCCGGCUUCUCGGCCGUCAUCGUCUCUCAUCGCCG